GCCAUGCCGCGUGCGGGAAGAAGGCCUUCGGGUUGUAAACCGCUUUUGUCAGGGAAGAAAAGGGCGUUUCUAAUAAAGAUGCCUCAUGACGGUACCUGAAGAAUAAGCACCGGCUAACUACGUGCCAGCAGCCGCGGUAAUACGUAGGGUGCAAGCGUUAAUCGGAAUUACUGGGCGUAAAGCGUGCGCAGGCGGUUAUGCAAGACAGAUGUGAAAUCCCCGGGCUCAACCUGGGAACUGCAUUUGUGACUGCAUAGCUUGAGUACGGUAGAGGGGGAUGGAAUUCCGCGUGUAGCAGUGAAAUGCGUAGAUAUGCGGAGGAACACCGAUGGCGAAGGCAAUCCCCUGGACCUGUACUGACGCUCAUGCACGAAAGCGUGGGGAGCAAACAGGAUUAGAUACCCUGGUAGUCCACGCCCUAAACGAUGUCAACUGGUUGUUGGGAGGGUUUCUUCUCAGUAACGUAGCUAACGCGUGAAGUUGACCGCCUGGGGAGUACGGCCGCAAGGUUGAAACUCAGAGGAAUUGACGGGGACCCGCACAAGCGGUGGAUGAUGUGGUUUAAUUCGAUGCAACGCGAAAAACCUUACCUACCCUUGACAUGUCUGGAAUCCUAAAGAGAUUUGGGAGU
rnacentral:rRNA from 1 species